GUCCUGGUAGCUCAGCGGUAGAGCGUCCGGCUUUUAACCGGUAGGUCGAAGGUUCGAUUCCUUUCCAGGACA
rfam:Mycoplasmataceae bacterium CE_OT135 Contig_17, whole genome shotgun sequence.